AAUAAUUAAAUCGAAGCUAUAUAUUUCAAAUAAAACUUCGAGAAACAUGUCUUGUACAACCAAUACUUAGAAAGUGAUUGCUUAAAGAUCUCUACUAUCAAUAAAUUCCAAAAAACCAAAUGCAUUCAAAUGUAUAUGACAAUAGUACAAAAACUCUUCAUCGUUCACUACAAUAGAUCGAGUUUACUUUUGGCCACAUGCAAUUCAAAUUCAAUUACCGGCAUUUUCCUGCACAUUCAAAAUAAAAUUAUAAGUUAGUGAAAUAAAUGUGGAAGUGCAUAAUUGGAGAGUAUUCACUAUAAGCCAACCAAUCCAAAUCAAUAUAUAUAUAU
rnacentral:lncRNA from 1 species